rnacentral:rRNA from 1 species
ACCAAGUAUAGGAGGUCCAACCUGCCCAGUGACUACAAGUUCAACGGCCGCGGUAUUUUAACCGUGCAAAGGUAGCGCAAUCACUUGUCUCCUAAAUAGAGACCUGUAUGAAUGGUUAAACGAGGGCUUAACUGUCUCCCCCUUCCAGUCAGUGAAAUUGAUCUACCCGUGCAGAAGCGGGUAUAAUAAUACAAGACGAGAAGACCCUUUGGAGCUUAAGGUACAAGAAUCAACCACGUCAAGAAAAUUAAUAAAGAGCAAAAACUUUGUGGUAAUGAUAUUUUACUUUCGGUUGGGGCGACCACGGAGGAAAAAAGAGCCUCCAGGUGGACUGGGAAAUAUCCUAAAACUAAGAGAGACAUCUCUAGGUCACAGAAAAUCUGACCAAUUAUGAUCCGGCUAAUAAAGCCGAUCAACGAACCAAGUUACCCUAGGGAUAACAGCGCAAUCCUCUCCAAGAGUCCAUAUCGACGAGGGGGUUUACGACCUCGAUGUUGGAUCAGGACAUCCUAAUGGUGCAGCCGCUAUUAAGGGUUCGUUUGUUCAACGAUUAAAGUCCUACGUGA